rnacentral:lncRNA from 1 species
CCUCGGAGCGCUAUUAGGGUGAUCCACGUCCAGCAAUCUCUUCUGUCUGGACGACUGCAUCGACUUUGUUUGUAUUAAUAAUGCAUCAAAAUAUUUUUGCGAAUCUCUUUGUGCUAUCUUCUGUCAUGACCUUCAGACUUUCAUCUAAGAAGCUAGCCUGUAGAAGCUCGGCACUGUCAGCAAGAAGGUGCACCCGAGUCAUUAUCUUACAUCUCUCAAAGCCUGAGGAGAAUGCUGUCUUGCAGGUCUAAUUUAUAAUCUCGGGCCCUCUUCUCGCCAGCCGAUCUAUCCUCUUGAGAACGUUCGCAGUUAAAAGCUCAUGAUUUGAGAGUCGACGGUGGAGGAAAGCCUGACCUUCUCUCUCCUCCUUUAGCUUCUCCUUCAGGCACUCUAUAUUUGACAGGACCUCCUAAAGUUCAUUCCAAGGUGUAGACGGCUCUUGAGUCACUUGAAUUCUCUUGGAGGCAAAGCCUUAAUCCCUCUGAGGCAUUUUUCCUUUGUGGCUUGCUCUAUCCGAAGUUCUGGCCCUUUUAACUGACCUUCUACUAGGGCAACUUUGAGAAUGAAUCUCAAGAGGGGUAGAGUCUCGACCCCUUCUUCUUUCGAGCAUCCUCCUUAGGUGCUCUAUAUCGUUGUGGGCUCGACGGUAAUCUCUCUCAGCUCUAGAUCUUUGCCUCUCGAGAUCUUCAAUCUUCUUUUCAACCCUCCUUAACUCGUCAUCUCGACGAUCGAUCAUUUCUCGAGCUUCUCGGAGAGCAUCCUCAGAAGAGUUGACUUCCUUGAUCAACUCGGCGAUAGCCGAUUGUUCAUGCUCCAAAA